UGGGGAAUAUUGCACAAUGGGCGUAAGCCUGAUGCAGCGACGCCGCGUGGGGGAUGAAGGCCUUCGGGUUGUAAACUCCUUUCGACAGGGACGAAGCUUUUGUGACGGUACCUGUAUAAGAAGCACCGGCUAACUACGUGCCAGCAGCCGCGGUAAUACGUAGGGUGCGAGCGUUGUCCGGAAUUACUGGGCGUAAAGAGCUCGUAGGUGGUUUGUCGCGUCGUCUGUGAAAUUCCGGGGCUUAACUCCGGGCGUGCAGGCGAUACGGGCUGACUUGAGUGCUGUAGGGGAGACUGGAAUUCCUGGUGUAGCGGUGAAAUGCGCAGAUAUCAGGAGGAACACCGAUGGCGAAGGCAGGUCUCUGGGCAGUAACUGACGCUGAGGAGCGAAAGCAUGGGUAGCGAACAGG
rnacentral:rRNA from 1 species